UAUUAUAUGUAUAUGCAAUAUAUUAUAUUAUUAAAACUGAUAUAAAAAUAUUAUAUUAUAAAUGAGGGCGGGGGCCAGGUAAAUGACCUUGGAGGGCCGCAUCCGGCCCCCGGGCCUUAGUUUGGGGACCCCUGGUCUAGAGGGUGUCAAAUUUAUAAAGGUUUGUCUAAUCCAGUGGUUCUCAACCUUUGGGCCUCCAAGUGUUUUGGACUUCAGCUCCCACAGUUCUUAAGAGCUGGUAAGAUGGCUGGGAUUUCUGGGAGUUGAAGUCCAAAACACCUGGAGGCCUAAAGGUUGGGAACCACUAGUCUAAUUCUUUUUAAAAGUGAACCAAGACAAGACACUACAUCUACAUCAGAACAUUUCAUAUCAAUGAAAUUUGGGACAUUAACCACAUAUUGUCUGAAGUAGCCCUUCCUUUACUCUGCUCUGAAACUUACUGCAGGGAUUGGGAACAUGUUGCCUGCCAACUGAUGCCAAACGUCAGUUACGAUCAACCCUCACCACUGCCUUCAUGAUUAGGUGGUGCACAUGGUGGCAGAUGCACACCCAGCUAACUGCAGCACUACAAAGCAGAACACACAUUGCUUCCUUCUUCCCCAAAGUAUAAAGAGAAAGGAAGACAGGAGAAGUUAAGACUGACUGUUGCUCCUAUGGGCAAAAGUGGGUGCAGUAGCAGCAACCACACAUAGGUAAAGCAGUGGGUGGUGGAAAAGGAGGGGUUGUAUGUCACAUAUGUCUGUCAGAGACACAGGCAACUUUCCAAGGCAUCCCUCAUACAAUGCCUUGGUUCCAAUAAAUUGUUUCUGUUGUUGUUGUUCAAGACUUUCUAAUUUAUUGUACUCCUAAGGCGCUCCAUGCAGUCAUGCCGGCCACAUGACCUUGGAGGUGUCUACGGACAACACCGGUUCUUCGGCUUAGAAAUGGAGAUGAGCACCAACCUCUAGAGUCAGACAUGAUUGGACUUAACGUCAGGGGAAACCUUUACCUUUACCUUUUUAAGGAGAAUUUAUGGGAGGAUGGGGUUCUGGAGCUAAGCCUGUGUGAUUUGCCCAUAGUCACCCAGUGGAUUUUGAUGGCCAACUGUGGUCUCUACAGUUGUAAUCCAACACUCAAACCACUCUCCCAUAUUGGCUCCACAAGAAAAAGCCAACUGCAAAUAGAAGCAACAACCUGUACUCCUUCUCUAGUAGUGUGGGAGUUGCUGCUGUUGCCAAAAUAAAAGCAAUAGGAGCUCCUGUCACCCCCACAACUCCUGCCAUCAGUCAGGUUCUUUUUUUUCUUUACAAAUUAAACAGCCUUGGGGGGUAGCCCAAAGCAGAAGAUACCCCAGCAACCAGGAUCCUCCUGAGGCAGGAAGGGAAGAGAUUAAUUUCAGACAUCUCAUGCUUCAUCCAGUCUUAUGGAAGCGAUCAUCUGCAGGGUGAAACUGGUGGGCCAUAAAUUCCCCCAGUGUGGCUACCUCUUUGUUUCCCAAAACAGAACUGCAAUAAAAGAAGAAUCAGGCUGAAAAUCAUCACAUGUCACUGAUAAGGAUGCUCAGAACAUAUUUGCUGCCAGGUUUGGGUGUUCCCAGAACAAAUAUGUAUUUCCUUUUGAACUUCAACUCACCCACACCAUGUGCAGAGUCUUUUAUCUUUGGAAAAUGUUUUGGAAAGAUUAAAACAAGUGUUUGUUGCUUCAUCUUGAUUCUGAUUAAAAGCAAAUAUGUUUAAAAUA